UUUGUAAUUGUAAAGUAUUUGUUAUGCCAGGCAAACUAGUGAUCCUAGGAGUGGUUUUGCUACUGUUGAGAAGGACCUGCCUGGAGGUUUGACCCCCAUGCUCGGUGAUAAGAAGGUUGAGCACUUUUUGGGCAUAAAGCGCAAGUCUGAGCCAGGAGAGGGGACUUCACAAAAGAAGCCCAAAACUUAAUUGUGUAAACUUCCUAGCUUAAAGAUAUACUGGUGUUUUUAUGCAUAAGCUCUUGUAAUUGUACAUAAGCUGUGUCCAGACGGACGGAACUAAAGUUCAAUUAUUGAUACCUCCGUGAAUCAGGGGUGUUCAUGUUUGGUACAAUUUUGAAAGAUUUUUGGUUCGGUAUUAUAGGUUUAGUUUUGAAAAUGAUAGACCAAUAUCAUAUGGAUCCAACUCCUCUCCAUUUCCCCAAGUUCUCACUUGAAUGAGUGACAUCUGCCUCAUUUUAAUA